AUCUGGUGGAAGGUGGAUAGCAUAAGUUUCGUUUUUUGUUUUUGCUUUUUUUCAUCUCUCCUCACAUAGAAUUUUUGGGCUUCUCCUAGGAGUUUCUCUAUGGACAGGUUUUUCCAGUUUUCUAGUUUUUGCAACUGCUUUGUUAUGUCUGACCAGCUGUUUGUGACAACAUGUAGCUUUAACAUUUCUUGCCCGAGAGAGUCUUCUGGAUCUAAAUCUGCAUAUUUUUUUGUUUGUUCCCUUGGUCUUUUUAGAAAUUUCAUGGGGCCUUCAUCUUUUUCCUGUUGUACGUCAAAUGCUCGGGAAAGAUUCUGAGUGUGGGGCACUGACUCCCGAAUUCCUUUAAUUAUCAUUUCCCUAAGAUCUUUAUCUUUGGGGUUUAGAUUCCUAGUUAGGAAAGCAGUAGGGUUAAGGGCAUUGUCAGUGGUGCAUCUUUUUUUGUUUGUUUGUUUGUUUUUGAGACGGAGUCUCGCUUUGUCGCCCAGGCUGGAGUGCAGUGGCGCGAUCUCGGCUCACUGCAACCUCCGCCUCCCAGGUUCACGCCAUUCUCCUGCCUCAGUCUCCCAAGUAGCUGGGACUACAGGUGCCCGCCACCACACCUGACUAAUUUUUUUUUUUUUUUUUUUUUUUUUUAGUAGAGACGGGGUUUCACCGUGUUAGCCAGGAUGGUCUCGAUCUCCCGACCUCGUGAUCUGCCUGCCUUGGCCUCCCAAAGUGCUAGGAUUACAGGCGUGAGCCACUGCGCCCAGCAACAUCUUUUUUUUUAAUAGAAUGGUUUCAUAUCAUGUUUUUCCGGUGGACUGCAUUGUUAUUAUCCCAUUGAGGAUCUUGGACUGGGAAUUUCUGGCCUGCUGCCGGAAUGUUUUGGCCAGAAGGAUGUUCACGUUCCCAAAUUGUCAUAGCAGCCCUAUGAUUCAUCCCCCUUUCUUCCCCUGAGAAAAGGAUACCCAGGAGGGACAUUCUCUUCCUUCCUGGGGCACCUCUCUCAAAGGAAAGAGAGUUGGGGCUGAUUCCUUAGAGGUAGAGGGGGAAGGAAGAUUUUGAGUCCUUUUAGGGAAGGAUACUUAGGCUGACCCAUGGGGUGGUGGUAAGUGUGAAAUCUGAUCCUUCCCCUGCAUUUUUUAGGGGAAAGAAGAUAACAGGUCUUUUUUCUCCAGCAGAGAGCAUAGUCUAUUUCUUUCUGUGAGACCAGACUUUUGUCAUUCACAUGCUGAAUUAAAAGAUGACAGACCCAAUCCUCAUCUCAUCCAUAUUUUGGCCAGAAGACAUCAGGUUUGAGGAUGGGUUUCUUGGCCCAAAUAAAACUAUAUUCUAUCAUCUGUUGCUUUUUUUGGUGUCUGGUCGUCUCAUUUUCCUUCUAAUAAUUUUAGCAUGAGACCUAAAGGACUAUCGGAGGGGAUCUGACUAUCCCUAUCCUUACCUUUCCCUGUUGUACUAGGAGUGUUUCCCAUCUUGGAGGUUUUGGAUGCUCCCUUGAGUGUGUGUGUGUGUGGCCUAACCUCUCUUAUUAAAGCCUUCCCUUUUAUCUAGAGGCUCAAACCCCCUUACUGGAGUUUUCUUGCACUCCUUUCCAUUUGCUUUGUCCUAUCUGGCUGCUUCCCUCAUGGGAAAUUAGAGGCAAUUUACUUCUACAGAAAGGCGCUUCCUGUAUGCAAGACAGAGGCAAGGGAGACCGCGCAAAACAAAGGAGAGCAGGAGUUUUUUAUCCCUGAAGCAGACCCUGUUCCUGUGCCCUCACCCUGAGUGUUGGGGUCGGACCACACAAUCUAGGCUAAUUCCGAUUAGCUACUGUUGACAUCAUCAAAGGAGGCGAGGGUGGAUGUUUGAUGGGAAGGAUAGGUAAGGUACAUCUUGGGGCGUCUGAGCACAGCAGAGAGAGGGAGGGCUGAUAGAUGAAUGGGUAUGAUUUCCUUUUAGAAUAGAACAAAGAACCAGGAACUGAAACCCUUUGAAGAGGAACUAUUUGUUCUUAAUAACAUAAGUAAGGCAGUAACAGCCCAUUUAUGCUUCAGGCAGGUUCAGAAGGGUUUGCUGUAACUUGCAAUGGAAAGCCUUUUACCUGUCUAAGCCUGCCCUCUCACACUUUAUCUCUGCUUCAAACUUUCCUGCUGCACAGAACUCCUACAGCUCCCUUUUUGUCCUCCUGUAGUCCUGCAUGUUUGACUGCAGGUAACCAGAGUCAGGACCAGCUUCAGCUCUAGAACCUGCCUGCUGACCACCUUCCAGGAACUGGGAGCACUGGAGGCAUUGGCCAUCCCGCCAAAGGGCUCAGAUUCAGCACCAAGCCCAGAGGUUCCUACCAGGACCACUUGCAGGGGUUCCCCUGCUGAGGAGUGGUCUCCUUCUGUAGAAAUCCCCCUUAGUACUGGGUUUGAGAAAUGCAAACCUAAGGCUAGAAUAGCAGGCUGUAUGCAGGGCCUCAAGAUUGUGAGCUUGUCACCAUUGAGGGGCACUUCAGAGCAAUGACCAUAUGCCUGACACGGGGCUGAGCCCUUAUCCUCACAAACACCUCAGGAUGUUGGUGCCAUUAUUACCCCAUUUUAUAAAAGAAGACAUGACACUUAGAAGGAAGAUUUGUGGACUUUUCUUGUCCUUUUCCCAAUCCAUUAAAACUGUCUGUGAACACUGUUACUUUUCUCACCUUUAAAAAAAUAGGUAGAAAGUUAAACAUUGCAUGUUCUCACUCAUAUAAGAAAGCAAAAAACUUGAUCUCAUAGAAGUAAAAAGUAGAAGCUCGGACAUGAUGGCUUAUGCCUGUAAUCCCAGCACUUUGGGAGACUGAGGCGAGUUUGAGACCAGCCUGGCCAACAUAGCGAAACCCUGUCUCUAC
rnacentral:lncRNA from 1 species